CAUGAACGUUGGCGGCAUGGAUUAGGCAUGCAAGUCGAGCGAGAAGAGUUUUGAAGCUUGCUUUAGAACUCGGACAGCGGCGAAAGGGAGAGUAACGCGUAGUUAUGUGCCCUAGGGUCCGGAAUAGCCACGGGAAACUGUGGGUAAUGCCGGAUAAUAUCCCCGGAUCAAAGGUGUGAUUCCGCCCUAGGAGCAGACUGCGUCCUACUAGCUAGUUGGUGGGGUAAUGGCCUACCAAGGCAAUGAUGGGUAGCGGGUGUGAGAGCAUGACCCGUCUCACUGGGACUGAGACACUGCCCAGACACCUACGGGUGGCUGCAGUCGAGAAUCUUCGGCAAUGGGCGAAAGCCUGACCGAGCGAUGCCGCGUGCGGGAUGAAGGCCCUCGGGUUGUAAACCGCUGUCGUAGGGGAGGAAGGUUCCGUGAAGAGCGGAAUUUGACCUAUCCUAGGAGGAAGUACGGGCUAAGUUCGUGCCAGCAGCCGCAGUAAGAC
rnacentral:rRNA from 1 species